CGUCAGCUCUGUACGCGUUUAUCCGGGUCCUGGAGUCUCAGCACAGACCGCGGGUGUUCGUCGCUAUUAGCUAUUAGCCAACUAGCCUUCAGCUUCCAUUGAGGACAUAGUGAAGAGUGACUGUUCAUUUGGAAAUAUGGUAGAUGCCGAGGCGAGAAUCCUAACAUGGCGGACAGAAAGGACUUCGGAAAACAACAGUUUGGUCACUUCUGUCACUAUCCAGUUACAUUACUUCAUUUCAAGGUGGAAAGAAGGCAACAUGUGCACUGUGGGAUGAGGUAGUAGGUUGUAUAGUUUUAGGGUCACACCCACACUGGGAGAUAACUAUACAGCCUACUGUCUUUCUCAAAGUGAAAACGGAGCUACGGAGUAUCUUCCUACAUUUCCUGAUGUUUAAUAUCAGUGAUAGCAUUGUCACGGUAUGUGCUGGCAAGCUGAAAUGUUUUUGAUUGUUAAAAGAGAUGGCAGUGCUUGUGCAGUGUGAGGUAGUAGAUUGUAUAGUUGUAGGGUAGUGAUUUUAUCCUGUGUAGAAGAUAACUAUACAAUCUAUUGCCUUCCCUGAGGGGCAGAAAUACACACCAAAUGAACACCGAUUUAUCUUAGAUAAUGUGAUUUCUCCUGUUUUUUUUUUUUUUUUUAAAUCAAGGUUUAAUUUUUGCUUUUGUCUAAAGUAAAUUUUUCACAAAUACAAUAAAAGUAUUUGCAAAUUUA